rnacentral:lncRNA from 1 species
CAUGGACCGUCUGAAACACUUCCAAUCCUUGAUUGAUCAAAGCACCAUCCAAUCUGCAGUGACUCCAAAUGGAGGUAUUUAUCUGAUUAAUCUCUCCUUUGGAACCCCACCAGUUGAAUACAUGGCCGUUGCAGACACUGGUAGCGACCUUAUAUGGAUACAAUGUGUUCCAUGUCCUCAAUCUCAAUGUUAUCCACAAGGUUCUCCUCCUUUCGAUCCUCAAGCAUCUUCCACCUACAAAAAGAUUCCUUGCGGUUCCGAUAGUUGCCAAGCUCUUCCCCGAUAUCAGUGCUCCAACGACGUUAAUGACUGUCAAUACUUGUAUAGAUACGGAGACAAGUCAUUUACUAGAGGAAUCCUCAGCACCGAUACCAUAACUUUUGACGACUCCAAUGGUCAAAAAACAGCUUUCCCAACAUCCAUUUUCGGUUGUGGGCACAACAAUCUAGGUAAAUUCAGAAGCCCAAGUGCUGGUCUUGUUGGCCUGGGAGGAGGGCCGUUGUCACUUGUUUCUCAAAUAAGCACUCAAAUUGAUCACAGAUUUUCCUACUGCUUGGUUCCUCUCUCUGCGAGUUCCAGUAGUAAACUGCUGUUCGGCCAAGAAGCAAUAAUUUCUCGUCCUGGGGCUGUUUCCACUCCAUUGGUAUCCAAAGCCCCUCAAACCUACUACUACCUUAGUCUUGAAGGUGUUAGCAUUGGAGACAAGACCGCACAGGCAGGUUCGAGCCAAGGGAAUAUCAUAAUCGAUUCUGGAACAACACUCACAUACCUAGAAUCGAGCUUUUAUAGCAGCUUAGAGACUAUAGUGAAAGACGCCAUUGGAGCAGAUCCAGUGCAAUCUCCUUCAGAAUCAUUUAGCUUGUGUUACGGGUCAGAGACUAACAUCAACAUCCCGGAAAUGGUGUUCCAUUUUAGUGGUGCUGACCUUCGUUUGCAACCUGUCAACACGUUUGCUAAUUUCGAUGACAACUUGGUUUGUAUGCUGAUAGCUCCAACUCCAAGUGACCUUCCCUUAUCUAUAUUUGGAAACUUUGCACAAAUCAAUCUACAGGUGGAGUACGAUCUUGAGAAGAGGACUGUGUCCUUUGUUCCCACAGAUUGUACCAACCAAUAAAUUUGUUAGUUUCCAAUUGCAUGCAUGGCGGCGGCCGCGGACUCGAAUAAAUAUCACUAAAUAACAAUUCCAAACGCCGCUUAGCUUUUUAAAUUCCUCACUACCUUAUAUACUUUUCUUGCUUAAUUGUAAUAUCCAUGUCAGUAUACCGGUGACAUGAAAACAUCUUGCAAGAUGAUAUUAUGGCUAAUUAGUACUGAAACUAAAAGUUUCUGGCUGCUGCAAAAUUUAAUUGCUGAAUUUUUGCUUUAACAACAGUUUACAGGCAUAUAUGAGACAUUACCAGCAUCUUAUCUUUUUAUUUUUUGGGAUGCCCUGGAAACAAAUACUAACCUUUUCCUGGUUAAACUUACAUGUUAUUUAUGCAUUUUAUAAGAUGCUUUUGAGCACUUCUAUAAUCUUGUUAAAGUCGUUAAACAAAAAUAAAUGAAAGAAAUAAAAAGGAAAUUUCCUUUUGUAACAAAUAAAAUCCAGUCUCUUUCUUUGACACGUUCGGGCCCAACUUAGCGAAUUCAAUGGAGCUUGACGCUGGGCCUGGCUAAUCAAUUUCUAUUCAAGCCACCCAGCAAGAUUAGUUAUUCGUUUAUUGAUAAAUAACAUAAAUUUCCCACUUACGAAGAUGAUAUAAUUAUAUAUAUAAAAGGCUAAACUCUAAAAUUGUUAAAAGUGAUGGGUUAAAAUAGCUUUUUAAAAUAUAUAUUUAAUAUUUUGAUAUUUAAAAAAAUUCAUAUUAAAAUUUAAAGGAUAAACUAUAAAAAUAGUCACCCAACUAUAAAAAGUUUCACUUUUGUCAUCUAAAAUAAAAUGUUUGUAAUUUAAGCACUUAUUUUAUAUAAUUUGAUCAUUUUGAUCAUUCCCAUUAAAAUCACAAAUGACAAGUUUAGGUGGCAGUUAAACAAAUCGAUACAAUAAAAAAAUUUACCCAUCAACUUUUAUAUAUUGUAUCAAUUUAGUCAUAAUUUAAAAAAAUUAACCUUCAAAAUUUACAAAUAAUCUCAAUUUGAUUAUAAUUCUAAAAAAAUUCAAAAAAACAAGUUAUUUAUUUGUAUCCAUUUUCAUUGCCGCAUUAUAGUUUGGAGGGGUACGAAAGAAUGCUCAAAUAAAGAAUUAAAAAAGAAGAAGAAAAAACAAUGGAAAUUUUUUAUUACAAUUUUACAUCAUUUGACCAACAUUGUUAUGUAAUGGUAAACAAACUUUGUUCAAAUAUCAUUAAACUAAUGAUAUUUUUUUUCUCAAAAAUCUUAACCAAAAACUCGAAUGGUUUUAAUGUCAAGCUUCUUCAAUUCCACCUUAGGAACAAUAACAAUGGUAACCCCAUUUUACAUGGAAGAUUUAACUUUGAUCCAUCUUCGCAUUCUUAGGCAACUUGAAUCAUCUCGAGAACUUGCCACUGCUCCGCCUCCACGCGAUGCUACAUCUCGUUCUUCUUUUCCUUCUCCACAUUCCUUUCGAUGCUUAUUUGAAACUCCCUUUCAUAUUCAAUGUCCUCUUUCUUAAGUUUAGGAAGAUUGGCUUUGAGCACAUGGGCAUCCGACUGUUAAGAGAUAAAAUUUUAUUUUAAAUUUUAAUAUUUUUUGUUGUGCUUUUAAUUUAAAACGUUGAGUUUUAUUUUUUUUAGUUAAAUGGGGAGUCUUAAUGAAGGAAGAAAAAAUGACUCAUUUUCUCAUAAGGGCUGUUGUAACCAUUUUAAUGAAACAAUGAGUAGAUAGACAGCUGUCCAUAAUUAAAAUUGAAAGCUUUGUACCAUGCUCCUCUCUCUCUCUCUGAGUCGUUAUAUUUUCAAAAUGAGUAAUGAAAGACAUGCAUAAUAUGAUUUUGGACUGAAGUUUUUACCCUAUUUUCUCUUCUCUAAACUAUUCUCUGUUUUAUUCUCUCUUUCUUCGAUACAACUAGGAUUCUAUCUCGUAACAAGGUAUCAGAGCUUGACGACCUCAUGACCAGGGAUGGGAUUACCACACAUUUGCAAAAGGAUGUUACUAGUAUUCAAAAUGAUAUGCUCAAGCUGUAACAGAGGUUUCUAAAUGGGAUAAUCAUUUGGAAAUUCGACUAACAAAGUUUAAAAAAGAGUUGUGGUGAGAGUUCAAGUCAGAGGUUCAAUCCUUAUUUGAAUAGUAUUUAGGUGCACUAGUGAGUUCUUUGGGAGCUAGUCCUUUAGCAAAUAAGGAGAAAUGGGUUUUGGGAGGAGUUCCACCGGAUUUUCCUCCUAAGGAGUCAACGACCAUACCUCUUCUCGUGGACGCGGGUGCUUUAUUAGACCCUAGAGAAUAGGUGUGAUAGAGACAGUAGCUAGCCUUACAAAUUGGAGUGUCCAUGGCUCGACACCACAGAUUUCAGGGGAUAGUAGGCUAAACUGGAGCAAUAUUUCGAGACGGAUGAGAUUCCACUGAACUUUUAUGUCAUAAUAUUGAUGCUUCACCUAGAAGGUAAGGCUCUUGACUGACAUCAUUUUUUUUCCAAAGAUAGGGUGGGUUUCAUAUGCUUACUUGGGAAUCUUAUGCAUAAAACUUGAAGGAAAGGUUUGGAUCUAAUGUUUAUCAGAACCCGAUAACAAAUUUGGUAAAUUUAAAACAAGUAGGAACUAUAGAUUAAUACCAUGAUGCUUUCAUUAGCCUGUUAAAUCAACUUCUGUAACACCCCUAACCCGAAUCCGAUAGCCGGAUUUAGGCUAAAAAGGUAUUACCGAGCUAAACAUUAAAUUUCUCAUCGACAUUAACUAACAUAAACAGAGAUUGAGCUGAAUACAUAUUGAUCUUUGUGUUAUACAUAUGCCAUUUUCAUAUGGCCAAAAUAUUUACAAUUACAAAACAUAGUUAUCUUUAGCCUAACCUAUACAUGCCAUAUCAGGACCAAAAUAAAACUGUACCAAAAAGAUCGAUAGUAGGAUGAAUUGUUGACGAUCCCCGAGUCGGUGGCCAAAAUCAACAAUCUAUAAAACAGAGAAAUAAGGAACAAAGUAAGCUUUCGAGGCUUAGUAAGUUUUAAGCAUUUCAAACAAUUAAAACUUGUCAUUUAAAUCGAACAUUAAGUAUCACAGAACUCGUAUUCUAAUUAUAUAUUACUUGGCCGAAUAUACACAAGUACACUAAUUAUAAAGCCUAUUGGUCGAAUAUAUAUAUAUGAAUACACAAGAAAUUUUCAGCACAUAUUUAACUAUAGUAUAUGGCUCAUACAAUUACUUUAAGUCACAUACUUUCAUAUAAUGACAUACAUUGAUCGAAUAGGUCAUUCUCUUAUUCUUAAAUACCGUAUUCAUCCACACGUAUAUAUAUAUAUAUCGUUCUUUAAUACUAAUAAUUCACUUUAAAAUCAUUUCACAUAUGAGUACAUAAUACGUACCUUAACAUGUUAAAUAUAUAGUACUUACUCGACGGUGGUUUUCCACGGAUAUUCAAUGUCGUAAUCUUACUUAAUUUACUGGCAUCAAACCUGUCAAGUCUUAGAACUUGAAACAAAUUUCUAGCACCAGCCUGCGGGAAUUUAAACCCGGUAUAAUACCAGCUCGUAGCCUGUGGGUCUCUAGCCCGAAUAGCAUUUUAGCACGAAGCCUGCGGGUCUUUAAGCCCGGAUACAAUUCCUCAAGUAUCAUGCAUAUUUAAUCAUAUAUUAACACAUCUCAUUGAACAUGUUACAUUAGUAGUCAUUUGCUACAUGCGAAUAUAAGCUCCAUAUACAUUUCAUUAAUUAAGCUUAACCCGUAUUGACCAUUCGACUAUAGUUCAUAUACUUAGAUUAUUUAUCACACAACUUAAUUCAAGUAGAAUCAAAAGGUCACAAUUCAUCUAAUAUACACAUAUCAAGGCAUCAAAAAUUUUUAUACUAAAGGCGACUACUCAAAACUUACCUCGGAUAUCGUCGAACGAUUACAACGGCUAUUCGAUUACUUUCUCUUUUCCCUUAUCUGAGUUUGCCCCUCUAUGCUCUUGAGCUAAUUCAAACAAAUUUAGCUUAUUAAAAUCCCAUCAUGCUAGAUUAUGGUCGAAUAUGACAAGAGAUUUACUAGGUCAUAUAGCUACCUUUAGCUCAAAUACGAAAUGGUCAUACCCAUUUUAAUCACUUUAAACAUUCUAAUACAAUUUAAUUAAACAUUUCUCCAAGUAUACCUUUAUGACCGAAUAUACAUAUCAAAUAAAUAGCUUACUUAAUACAUAACUCACAUAGCCAAAGUACAUAUAACCCUAAUGACCGAAUAUGUAUAUAACCAAAAUUCCUGUGACUUAACCUUUAACCCCUUUUAGCCGAAUAUCCAUUAAAUAUCUAGUUCACAUACACAAACACAAAAUUCAUAUGGCUUAUCAUAUUUUCAUGUACAUAUCUUAACUAUAUAGCCGAAUAUAUAUAUAUAGUUCAUCAAACCGAUAUUUAUUCCUAUUCCCUUAACACAUAUAGAUCAAUUUGACAUGCAUUUACCUUUGGCACAUUCGGUCAUUUAAGCAAUAACCUAUCUAGAAUUUAAGCAUUUUAUACUAAAAAUUCUCCCAAGGCCAAAUUCAUAUACAUCUUUUAAUACUCAUACAAAGUUUAUAUUUCAAAUAAUUUGUGCAUAGACCAUUAAUCUACUAAUUAACUAAACACUUUAAAAAUUUUCUUUAACUAAACGUAUAUUCGGCAAUGACCACAACAAUUUAACAAAUCUUAAAAACAAUCUAUAACAUUUUAAAUUCAUCUUACCCCCUCAUGACCGAAUGUGCAUAUAUAUAUAAACUCAAAUAACAACAAAAUUUUCUUUCCAAAAUGCAUAUAUAUACAUACGGAACUUCAAUUCAUACCUCUCAACAAUGAAUUCAACUUAUUCAACCAUCAUUUAAGCUACUUUAACAUAUAAAUAAAAUCUUCCCAAAAACUUAUCAAAAUAACACAAAUUUAGCAACUUGCCGAAUGGAUAUAUGUUCAAUGAUUCAUGAAUUUAAACCAUGGGUUAACUAUACUAUGUACUUAUCAAUUUAAUUUCAUAAUCAAUUACAAAAAAAAUCACAUUACAUACCUUUAAAUUGAGAUAACCAUGGCCGAAUGCCUUGGCUUCUUCUUCAAUAUUUUUCUUUCUCAAUUUUGGUAAUGAUGAAAGAAAGAUGAACACCCAUUAUUUUAUCAUCUUUUUUCUUAUUUUACUAAUUAUUUUUUUAUUUCAAAAUAAUGCCAUUACUUAUUAUAAUACUUAAAUCAAACAUAUAAUAUCCAUCAACCAUCAUUAUGGCCGGCCACUAUAUUAAAAGUGGUCUAUUUGACAUGCAAGUCCCCCAUGUCAAUAGUUCAUGCAUUAUUUGGCACUUUAAAAUUUACCUAUCACAUUUUCAAGUCUUAUCACAUGAGUCCUAUCUUAUAAAUUUCACAUACAAAUGACAAAAUCAAAGCAUGAAACUUUCACACAUGCAUUUACACAUAUAAUAAACAUAGAAUAUAAUGGUUAAUUAUUUUUAUGACUCGAUUUUGUGGUCCCGAAACCACUUUCUGACUAGGGUCAAAUUAGGGCUGUCACAACUCUCCCGCACAUAAAGAAUUUUCGUCCCCGAAAAUCUUACCAGUGAAUAAGUUAGGAUAUCGAUCUUUCAUAGGGUCUUCAAGUUCCCAUGUAGCUUCUUCAACCCCAUGCUUAAGCCACAGUACCUUCACUAAUGAGAUUUUCUUAUUUCGUAGUUCUUUUACUUCACGAGCCAAAAUACGAACCGGUUCUUCUUCAUAGCUUAAAUCAGAUUAAAUCUCAACCUCAGAUGGAUUAAUUAUAUGCGAUGGAUCUGAUCUAUAACGUCGAAGCAUCGAAACAUGAAAAAAGUUGUGAAUCUUUUCAAGCUCAGGGGGUAAAAUCAAUCUGUAUGCGACUGGCCCAACUCAUUCGGAUAUUUCAUAUGGUCCGAUGAAACCUCGGACUCAAUUUGCCCUUACGGCCAAAUCUGAGCAUCUUUUUCCAAGGUGAAACUUUAAGAAACACUUUGUCUCCGACCUGAUAUUCAAUGUCUUUUCGUUUUAAAUCCGCAUACGACUUCUGACGAUCUGAAGCUGCUUUCAGACUUUCACGGAUCACUUUUACUUUCUGCUCAGCAUCUUUAAUCAAAUCAACCCCGAAGAUUUUACUUUUACUAAGCUCGGUCCAAAACAACGGUGUACGGCAUUUACGACCGUACAAAGCCUCGUAUGGUGCCAUCUUAAUGCUUGAUUGAAAACUAUUGUUGUAGGCGAAUUCAAUCAAAGGCAAAUACCGUUCCCAUGAACCACUAAACUCAAGGAUGCAACAUCUCAACAUAUCCUCGAGUAUCUGAAUUAUCCGCUCGGAUUGACCAUCAGUCUGGGGAUAAAAAGCGGUGCUAAAAUGUAACUUGAUACCCAAUGCUUCUUGCAAUUUCUUCCAAAAUCGCGAUGUGAAUCUUGGAUCUCUAUCCGACACAAUAGAAAUAGGUACCCCAUGUAACCUUACAAUCUGAGAAACAUACAACUCGACUAGCUUGUCAAGUGAAUAAUCCGUACGUACGGGAAUAAAAUGAGCCGACUUUGUCAAUCUAUCAAUAACAACCCAGAUCGCAUCUUUCUUGCUUGACGACAAUGGCAACCCGGAUACAAAAUCCAUCGCGACUCGAUCCCAUUUCUAUUCGGGUAUCAUGAUCGGAUGAAGUAAUCCUGAAGGCACUUGAUGUUCCGCUUUCACUUGUUGACAUAUCAAACACUUCGAAACAAAGUCAGAAAUGUCUCGUUUCAUACCAGGCCACCAAAACUGACGUUUCAGAUCGUUGUACAUUUUCGUACUACCCGGGUGGAUUGACAUUCGGCUACUAUGAGCCUCGCUUAAAAUCACCGAAAUAAGUUCUGAAUUUCUUGGAACACACAAUCGAUUUCUGAAUUUCAAACAAUCGUUGUCGUCAAUUUGAAACUCUGAUUCUACAUUUGAGACACAAUCAGCUCGUUUAGCCACCAAUUCAUCGUCGACUUUUUGAGAUUCACAUAUUUGAUGAAUCAAUAAUGGUUUGGCUAUUAAUUCUGCUACUAACACAUUAUCGGAUGAAACGGACAGGUGUAUAUUCAUCACUCGCAAAGUAAACAGUGACUUGCGACUUAAAGCAUCGGCAACCACGUUAGCCUUUCCCGGGUGAUAGUCAAUGACGAGCUCAUAAUCUUUCAACAACUCAAGCCAACGUCUUUGUCGCAGAUUCAAAUCUCUUUGAGCCAUCAAAUAUUUGAGGCUUUUGUGAUCCGAAUAUACAUGACACCUCUUUCCAAACAAGUAAUGUCGCAAUAUUUUCAAAGCGAAUACGAUGGCAACUAAUUUGAGAUUAUGGGUCGGAUAGUUUUUCUCAUGUGGAUUCAAUUGCCUCGAUGCGUAAGCUACAACUCGACCCUCUUGCAUUAAUACACAACCCAGCCCAAGUAAGGACGCAUCACUGUAAAUGAAAAACUCUCUACCGGAUUCAGGCUGCACUAACACAGGAGCUUCAGUCAAAUAAGUUUUCAAUUGAUCGAAACUUUUCUGACAUUUUUCUGACCAAUCAAACUUAACAUCUUUCUGAAGUAGUUUCGUCAUUGGUGUGGCUAUCAUCAAGAAACCCUUUACAAACCGUCUGUAGUAACCAGCAAGUCCCAAAAAGCUUCGAACUUUAGUAACAUAUCUCAGAGGCUUUCAAUCAAGUAUGGUUGAAAUUUUGCUCGGAUCAACUCGAAUACCGGAUGCAGAUACCACAUGCCCAAAAAAACUAACUUCUCUUAACCAGAAUUCACAUUUACUAAAUUUCGCGUAUAACUACUUGUCUCGUAAAAUCUGUAAUACCAAUCUCAGGUGCUCGGCAUGUUCAGUUUCAUCGCGUGAAUAAAUCAAGAUGUCAUCUAUAAACACAACUACAAACCGGUCCAAAUACUGUCUGAAAAUUCGAUUCAUCAAAUCCUUAAAUAUUGCAGGGUAUUAGUGAGCCCAAACGGCAUCACUAAGAACUCGUAGUGACCGUAUCUCGUUCUGAAAGCAGUUUUAGGUAUAUCUGAGUCUCAAACUCGCAACUGAUAAUAACCCGAUCUUAAAUCUAUCUUUGAAAACACUGAGGCUCACUUCAGCUGAUCAAACAAAUCAUCAAUACGCGAUAACGGAUAUUUGUUCUUUAUUGUCACUUUAUUUAAUUGACGAUAGUCGAUGCGUAUUCUCACGGUUCCGUCUUUCUUUUUCACAAACAAUACUGGUGCACCCUAAAGGGAGAAACUCGGUCGAGCGAAACCUCUAUCCGUCAACUCUUGCAACUGAGUUUUCAAUUCCUUCAAUUUUGUUGGUGCCAUACGGUACAGAGCUAUCGAAAUUAGUGUAGUCCCAGGUAUAAGUUCAAUGCCAAACUCUACCUCCCGAACAGGUGGUAACCUCGGUAAUUCCUCGGGAAAAACAUUCGGAUACUCACAAACCACUGGUACUGAUUCAAGCUUCUUUUCUGAUUCUUUACUAUCAAGUACGUACGCAAGAUAUGCUUUACACCCUUUUUUUACAUAUUCUGAACCAACAUCGAGGAUAUCAUUGCAGGUAACCCGUUCACGCCAGCAGACUCAACUCGUAUUAUUUCAUCAUUUGCACAUCUCAAAUCAAUAGUCUUUCUUUUGCAAUUCACAAUUGCAUCGUGCACAGUCAACCAAUCCAUACCGAGAAUAACAUCAAAUUCAUCAAACGGUAAAAGCAUCAAAUCAACCGGAAAAUAGGAACCUCGGAUUAUUAGGGCACAUUUCCUACACACUUUGUCAACUAGCACAUAUCGACCUAAGGGAUUCGAUACUCGAAUCACAAACUCAGUAGACUCAACAGGUAGAGUCUUACUGGAUGCUAAAGUCUCACAUACAUAUGAAUGAGUAGAACCAGGAUCAAUCAAUGCAAUCACAAUAGUAUCAAAGAGAGUGAAAGUACCGGUAAUAACAUCAGGCGAAGAAGCAUCCUCGCGUGCGUGUAUAGCAUAAGCUCUAGCAGGAGCACGAGCCUCAGAUAUACUCGUAGCAUCUCUAGACCCUCUCUGACCGCCACUAGCGUUCCUUGUAUUCCUAGAGCGUCUACCUCGAGCUGUAGUAGUACCCGGUUUACCACUCUGAUUCAUAUUCUAUUCAGACAAUCUCGGGCAGUCCUUGAUAAAGUGGUCGGCUGAUCCACACUUAUAACAGGAGCGAUCAUGAAAUCUACAACUCCCCGAAUGCCAUUUCCCACAAUACUUGCACUCGGUCUUGUCCUGACGAUCGUUUCCAACACUGGCAACCGAAGUGGCUCGCGUACUCACAAGGGGUCGAUCACGGUCUUGUCUGGAAAAGCCCGAAGUGUUCUUAGAUCAGUCCGAAUCAUCUCGAAAUUUCUUCGGUGACUACCGAAAGGGCUUUCCCAAAGAUCUUUAACGGAACUCUCUAGCUCCAUCUUCAGCUUUUCUUUUCUCUUUACUGAGCUCUUCGCCUUUGCAAGCUCGCUCGACAAGUACUACAAACUCUCUGAUUUCAAGAAUGCCAAUAAACAGUUUUAUAUCUUCGUUCAAUCCAUCUUCGAAAUGUUUACACAUUAUAGCUUCUGAAGAAACACAUUCUCAGGCAUACUGGCUAAGUCUCACAAAUUUUCGUUCAUAAUCAGUAACUGACAUGGAACCCUGUUUAAGUUUAAGAAAUUCCUUCUGUUUCUGAUCGAAGAAUCUCUAGCUGAUAUACUUUUUCUGGAACUCGGUUUGGAAGAACUCCCAAGUCACUCUCUCUCUAGGCACAACAGAAAUCAAUGUAUUCCACCAAUAGUAGGCAGAAUCACGUAGCAAAGAUAUAACACAUUUUUUUAACUAUCAGAAUUCAUCAUACUAUCAUAUUAAUACUAUAUGGCAUGUAUAGCUAGACUCAAACACUCUACGUUAGUCCUAGAAUCGACUAAACCAUAGCUCUGAUACCAAUAAAAUGUAACACCCCUAACCCGAAUCUGAUCGUAGGAUUUAGGCUAAAAAGGUAUUACCGAGCUAAACAUUAAAUUUCUCAUCCACAUUAACUAACAUAAAUAGAGAUCGAGCUGAAUACAUAUUGAUCUUUGUGUUAUAUAUAUGCCAUUUUCAUAUGGCUAAAAUAUUUACAAUUACAAAACAUAGUUAUCUUCAGCCUAACCUAUACAUGCCAUAUCAGGACCAAAAUAAAACUGCACCAAAAAGAUCGAUAGUAGGAUGAAUUGCUGAUGAUCCCCGAGUCGGUGGCCAAAAUCAACAAUCUAUAAAAUAGAGAAAUAAGGAACAGAGUAACCUUUCGAGGCUUAGUAAUUUUUAAAAAUUUCAAACAAUUAAAACUUGUCAUUUAAAUCGAACAUUAAGUAUCACAGAACUCGUAUUCUAAUUAUAUAUUACUUAGCCGAAUAUACACAAGUACACUAAUUAUAAAGCAUAUUGGUUGAAUAUAUAUAUAUGAAUACACAAGAAAUUUUCAGCACAUAUUUAACUAUAGUAUUUGGCUCAUACAAUUACUUUAAGUCACAUACUUUCAUAUAAUGGCAUACAUUGACCGAAUAGGCCAUUCUCUUAUUCUUAAAUACCUUAUUCAUCCACACGUAUAUAUAUAUCGUUCUUUAAUACUAAUCAUUCACUUUAAAAUCAUUUCACAUAUGAGUACAUAAUACGUACCUUAACAUGUUAAAUAUAUAGUACUUACUCGACGGUGGUUUUCUGCGGAUAUUCAAUGUCGUAAUCUAACUUAAUUUACUGGCAUCAAACCUGUCAAGUCUUAGAACUUGAAACAAAUUUCUAGCACCAGCCUGCGAGAAUUUAAACCCGGUAUAAUACCAGCUCAUAGCCUGCGGGUUUCUAGCCCGGAUAGCAUUCUAGCACGAAGCCUGCGGGUCUUUAAGCCCGGAUAACAUUCCAGUAUAUAGCCUGCGGGUCUUUAAGCCCGGAUACAAUUCCUCAAGUAUCAUGCAUAUUUAGUCAUAUAUUAACACAUCUCAUUGAACAUGUCACAUUAGUAGUCAUUUGCUACAUGCGAAUAUAAGCUCCAUAUACAUUUCAUUAAUUAAGCUUAACCCGUAUUGACCAUUAGACUAUAGUUCAUAUACUUAGAUUAUUUAUCACACAACUUAAUUCAAGUAGAAUCAAAAGGUCACAAUUCAUCUAAUAUACACAUAUCAAGGCAUCAUAAAUUUUUAUACUAAAGGUGACUACUCAAAACUUACCUCGGAUAUCGUCGAAUGAUUACAACGACUAUUCGAUUACUUUCUCUUUUCCCUUAUCUGAGUUUGUCCCUCUAUGCUCUUGAGCUAAUUCAAACAAAUUUAGCUUAUUAAAAUCCCAUCAUGCUAGAUUAUGGUCGAAUAUGACAAGAGAUUUACUAGGUCAUAUAGCUACCUUUAGCUCAAAUACGAAAUGGUCAUACCCAUUUUAAUCACUUUAAACAUUCUUAUACAAUUUAAUUAAACAUUUCUCCAAGUAUACCUUUAUGACCGAAUAUACAUAUCAAAUAAAUAGCUUACUUAAUACAUAACUCACAUAGCCAAAUUACAUAUAACCCUAAUGACCGAAUAUGUAUAUCACCAAAAUUCCUGUGACUUAACCUUUAACCCCUUUUAGCCGAAUAUCCAUUAAAUAUCUAGUUCACAUACACAAACACAAAAUUCAUAUGGCUUAUCAUAUUUUCAUGUACAUAUCUUAACUAUAUAGCUGAAUAUAUAUAUAUAGUUUAUCAAACCAAUAUUUAUUCCUAUUCCCUUAACACAUAUGGAUCAAUUUGACAUGCAUUUACCUUUGGCACAUUCGGUCAUUUAAGCAAUAACCUAUCUAGAAUUUAAGCAUUUUAUACUAAAAGUUCUCCCAAGGCCAAAUUCAUGUACAUCUUUUAAUACUCAUACAAAGUUUAUAUUUCAAAUAAUUUGUGCAUACACCAUUAAUCUACUAAUUAACUAAACACUUUAAAUUUUUUUUUAACUAAACAUAUAUUCGGCAAUGACCACAACAAUUUAACAAAUCUUAAAAACAAUCUAUAACAUUUUAAAUUCAUCUUAUCCCCUCAUGACCGAAUGUGCAUAUAAAUAUAUAAACUCAAAUAACAACAAAAUUUUCUUUCCAAAAUGCAUAUAUAUACAUACGACAACUUCAAUUCAUACCUCUCAACAAUGAACUCAACUUAUUCAACCAUCAUUUAAGCUACUUUAACAUAUAAAUAACAUUUUCCCAAAAACUUAUCAAAAUAACACAAAUUUAGCAACUUGCCGAAUGGAUAUAUGUUCAAUGAUUCAUGAAUUUAAACCAUGGGUUAACUAUACUAUGUACUUAUCAAUUUAAUUUCAUCAUCAAUUACAAAAAAAAAUCACAUUACAUACCUUUAAAUUGAGAUAACCAUGGCCGAUUGCCUUGGCUUCUUCUUCAAUAUUUUUCUUUCUCAAUUUUGGUAAUGAAGAAAGAAAGAUGAACACCCAUUAUUUUAUCAUCUUUUUUCUUAUUUUACUAAUUAUUUUUUUUAUUUCAAAAUAAUGCCAUUACUUAUUAUAAUACUUAAAUAAAACAUAUAUUAUCCAUCAACCAUCAUUAUGGCCGGCCACUAUAUUAAAAGUGGUCUAUUUGACAUGCAAGUCCUCCAUGUCAAUAGUUCAUGCAUUAUUUAGCACUUUAAAAUUUACCUAUCACAUUUUCAAGUCUUAUCACAUGAGUCCUAUCUUAUAAAUUUCACAUACAAAUGACAAAAUCAAAGCAUGAAACUUUCACACAUGCAUUUACACAUAUAAUAAACAUAGAAUAUAACGGUUAAUUAUUUUUAUGACUCGAUUUUAUGGUCCCGAAACCACUUUUUGACUAGGGUCAAAUUAGGGCUGUCACAACUUCAAUUACCCGAACAAUAUGUACUAAGCAGUUUUAUAAGUAACCUUAAGGCAGAAAUCAGUUAAUACCUGUAACUUUUUAAACCUAAAUGUAUAGUGGAACGAUUUUUUAUUGCGAAGUAAGUCGAGAAUAUUCUUAGCAGCCUCACAAAGAAGAGAUUAUUGUCCGAAUGGAAUACAUCUUUUAAAGCUGCCCUGUUACCAGUUUCAGGAGCCAACUUCUAUUGUUAGUUUAGGAACUCAUUAUAGUGGUUUUGGUGGGUUAGGGGCCAAGUCAGUAAUUGCUAGUUCAGGAACUUAGAACAACAAUUUUGGAGGAUCAGGGAACCAUCAUAGAGGGCCUCCUAGAUCCCUCUCUUCAGCUGAAACCUAAGAUAGGAAAAAGAAUUAUCUUUGCUUUUGGUGUGGUGCUAAGUAUAAUGUGGGACAUAAGUGCAUUAAGUCCUAGCUUUAUUAGUUAAUGUUGGAUCCAUGCACAGAGGAAAUAGAGGAAGAGUGUAGCUUGAGCCACGAAGAGGUCAUCAAGUUUAAGGAAACAUCGGUUGAUAAUAUUGUACCUACCAAACCGGUAUUAUCCUUCCAUGCACUUCAGGGUUUGCGAUGUGUCUACAGUAUAAGGGUAGCUACCAAUUUUGGGAACACCAAUGUUAUUCUCCUUGUUGAUUUAGGAAGUACCCAUAAUUUUGUAAGUGCUAAACUUGUAUGUAAGUUGGCUUUACUGAUUUUUCCUAGGGAUAAAUUGAAGGUAACUGUUGCUAAUGGGGUUUCUUGUCAACCAGUGAGGCUUGUAAUGAAUUAUUGUAGUUUACAUUUACUGCUAGCUUUCAAACUGAUUUCCUAGAACUACCAUUAGGAGGUCAUGAUUUAGUCUUAGGGGUACAAUGGCUCUAGACCUUGGGACCCAUCACUUGGGAAUUUAGUUCCCUGACAAUGAAAUUUAUUUACAAUGGUCAGCAAUGUUUAUUAGAAGGCAUACAACCAAGUCACAUCCAAUUACUGGGAGACAAUCAAUCUACCAAAUGUUUAACUAUGUUAGGGAAAUGACAGGGCUUAUAUGCUAUGGUUAUCACAGACACGGUACAGGCUAGUUUGAUGGCAACUAUUGCUAGUUUCAACGAAGAACUCUAGACUAUAUUGCAAACCUAUGAUGAUGUUUUUCAAGAAACAAAAGGUAUCCCAUCUUCUUGGCUACAAUACCAUAAAAUACCCUUGAAAGAUGAAUCAGUUAUGGUUAAAAUAAGACCAUAUAGUACCUCUCCAUUCAAAAAAUAGAAAUGGAAAGGUUGGUUCAUGAAAUGCUUCAAGCAUGGAUCACUAGGGACUCUAACAACUUCUUUCCAUCCUCUAUAGUCAUGGUUAAAAAAAAGAUGAAGGAUGGUGACUGUGUGUAGGUUAUUGACAAUUAAACCAGUUAACAAUUAAAGAUAAAUUUUCUAUUCCUGUAAUAGAAAAGCUCUUGAUGAACUUAGGUAGGCCAGAAUUUUUUUCAAGCUAGAUCUUCAUUUUAGUUACCACCAAAUUCGAAUUUAGGAGCCUGACAUCCAUAAAAUGGUCUUUCGAAUGCAUGAGGGACUAUGAAUUUUUAGUCAUGCCUUUCAGCUUGACAAAUGCCCCCUCCACGUUCCAAGAUUUGAUGAAUUCAAUUUUUAAAACUUGACUAAGGAGGUUUGUACUUGUUUUGUUUGAUGAAAUCAUUGUUUAUUCCUAUUCUUAGAAGGAUCAUUUGAGGCAUCUCACAACAGUCUUUAACGUUUUGAGAAACUAAUAGUCAUAUGCCAAACAAAGUAAAAGUCAUUUUGAGGCCACUUGAAUUGAAUAUUUGGGGCAUGUUAUAUCUCAAAGGAAUAUGGCAAUGGACCAAAACAAGGUUACUCAAAUUAUGGAUUGGCUAACUCCUCAGUGUGUUAAAAAACUCAAGGGGUUCCUUGGUUUUUUAGUGUAACAACCCGAUUUUAGGUCUAAUCGGAACAGUGGUUUCGAGACCACAAAUAUGACGUAUAAAAACUUAGUUUUAUUAUAUUUUUAUGAUAUACAAUUAUAUUUAAUAUUUUUGCUAAAAUUUCAUUCAAAAAUUUUGACGUUUGGACACUCAAUUUGGUAAAAGGACUAAAUUGUAAAAAGUGAAAAACCUGAGUUCUAUAAGCUAGAGGUGUCUAAUUGCUAUGAAAUUUUAAAUUAGAGGUCUUUAGAUGGUAAUUAGACUAUUACUUAAGUUGGUGGACAAAAAUGGGCAUGAAGUAAGAGUAAUUUUAGUGUUUUAAAAAAGGGCAUUUUGGUCAUUUGGUAAUUAAAUGAAUAAAAAGCCAAACUUUUGUCCAUAUUCUUCCUCCCAUAGCUAAAAUUUAGAAUGGGAAGCCAUAUAUAGGGUUUGGACACUUCCAAGCUCGAUUGUAAGUUUGUUCUUGUCCCGUUUUUAAUGCUCUUUAUAUUUUUGAAGUCAUUGUAACUCGAUCUACCUAUUUCUAGCACUAAUUUGAAGAAUGAUUAAGGUAUAAGGUUUGAACCACAUUAGAAAUAUCUGUAUUUUUAUGGUUAAUGGUAGAAAUUGCAUGUUUGAUGUUAGAAAAACAACUUUUGCUAAGUGAUUUUCAGUAAAAAUGUCAAAAAGGACCUAUUUGUAAAAAGUUGUAAAAUGGGUAUUAAAAUACGAACAAAAGAAAAAUGAGGGCUAAUAUAGGCAUUUAUAAGGUGCGGAUAGGCAUGGUAUUGAAGAAAUUGAGUACAUUUCAUUUUACAAGUCUAGGGACUAAAAUGUAAAAAUGUCAAACUUUAGGGGUAGAAAUGUAAUUUCUGCCAUCAUAUGAUUUGGGGCUGAUUUAAAUAGUAUAAAGAUUAAAUAAGUUAAAUGUGAUAUUAUAUAUCAAGAAAAAAAUGAGGUUUAAAAUUGGAACGAGGAAAAAAUAAGUAUUUGACGGUUAGGCCCUUUUCGCCAUUUUUAUGUCGAGGUAAGUUCGUAUGUUAAAACUAAGCUUUAAAACAAUUGUAUUUUAAUGCUCUAAUAUUGCAUUAACCGUAUGUUUAAUGAUGUGACUAAGUUUAAUUUUAUGAAUAAGCUAGACAACGAUUCGAUAAGCAAGAAACCCUAUUUGAACCUUAGGAAUAGGUUAGGAUACAAGUGACAUGUCAUUAGGGUUACAUUGUGUUAUGUGAUUAUGUGAUCCGGGUGCUGCUCUCAUACAUUCUACCGGUGACUGGAUACUCCGGCAUAUGUUACGGAUACUUGACAGCUUGUGUGAGCCGCACCAAGUAGCUACGUCUUGACUGACAGCUUGUUUGAGUAGGCCCGUGAAUAGUUCAAAAACGAGCCUAUAUGUAUUAUGAGCUAUGAGAUAGCAUUGGAUACAUAUGUGGCACUUAUGUGCAAGAUUUUUCGUGUAUCCGAUUAGUAUUCCAAGUGUUCAACAGAUAUGUCAAGGAAGAGAAAAAGAAUGUAAGUAUUACGAAUUGGUACAGGUAUGUACAUAAAGUUUAUAUGCAUUGACUUCAUGAAAUUAUGAGUUCAUGAUUUCCACGAGAAUGAUUUUGUGAAACCCUUGUGAUUAUUGGUCUAUACUUAUGAUGUAUGAAAUCCAUGGUAAAUUCGGUUGAAGAUCAUGUGAUUGGCUUUCGGGUCAAAUUGAAUUAUGAUAUAGUAUGUUUUGUUUACUCAAAUUGUGAUUUAUCGGAUAUAAGAAAAGGAAAGAUUGGCAUAAUUGCCUAUUAAAAUAACUAUGGAUGUAUGGGAAGAUAUGAGCUUUAAAUAAUUGAAUGAUGUUAAAAUAUAUGCUUGAAAUGUGAAUACUCAUGAUUAAUGCGCAUGUUUACUAUAACAUUUGAAAUGAUUUGUUCAUUGAUGUAAUAUGUUACAAAUGAGAGAUUACGGUUGUUAGGCUAAUGCCAAGAUAUGUUAAAUUAUGUUUAUAAGUUGAUUGAGUAAAUAUUGUGAUUGAACAAAAUUAUAACUGUGAGAUUCAUAGCAGUUUUUAGUAUCUUGUGUUUAAAUUGUUGAACUUAAUAAAAGACUGGUAAGAGUUGCUUAUUAUUUUAGUACGGACUGACUAAGCUAUAUAGCUUACCCCUUAUUUUCCCUUAUCUUAUAAGGUUAUUAAGCUAGCUCGGGUUGGAGAUCGCCGGAGAUACUAUUACACUAUUAAGCUAUCAUUUUGGGUAUAAAUGAAUUCAAGUAUUUUAAGUUUAUGGCAUGUGUAGGGACUAGGUCAAUUUGUUAUAUGUGUCAUUAUUGACUUGGCCAUAUGUGUUGGCUUGUAAUUGUUAAUGCUUCAUCUUAUAUAUAAGAAUGAUGGCUUAUGUUGAUUAUAAGUUUAUUUAUAUGUUAAUACCCUCUUGUGAAUGUGAAAUUAGCAUGUUUUUAAUAGGCUAAGUAUGAUGUUUUAAGCAUGAUAAAUGAUGGUAUAAGAAUGACAUGUUAUUAUCUUGGUUGUGGUUGUUUGGUUGCAUGUACAUAGGUGUGUGCAAGUGAGGGUGGAAAAAUGGCUUGGUAAAUAGCCUUGUUUUUGUCUACAUGGGCGUGUGUCUAAGCCAUGUGUGACACACGGUCUGCCGCAUGGGCAUGUGUGUUGGCCGUGUGUCCCCUGCACCCUAAUUUUUGCAAAAUAGAAUGCUUAGAAUUGAGCACAAUGGUAGAGACACGGGCAUGUAUCUCAACCGUGUGGAUGACACGGCCUCAGGCACGGGCGUGUGAAGUCUGCACCUAUUUUAUGAAAAAUCAUAAAUUUUAAAUUGACCAUACGGCCUACCCAUACGGGCGUGUCUCAAGCUACACCGGCAUGUGACCCCUAUUUAGUGGAAAAUUUUAUAAGUUUUGUAAAAACUUCUAAAAUUUUUGCUUUAGUCUUGAACCGCCUCCAGAGCAUGUUCUAGGCUUCGUAGGCCCGUAUUAGGGACAUGAUUGAACGUUAAAAAUUUUUAAUUUAGAAGCAAAUUUACGGCCCGUUUUGUAUGAAUGAAUGUGAUAUAAGUCUGGUAAUGCUUCGAGUCAUAUUCUGGAGACGAGAACGGGUAAGGGGUGUUACAUUUAGUAGUAUCAAAGCUACGGUGUAGUUGAUUCUUGGACUAACAUAGCGCAUGUGAGUCUAGCUAUACAUGCCAUAUUACUACCUGUGAUAGUGUGAUAUCUUCCGACUCUAAUUAAAUUAUUUUGUUGAGACAGAGAUGCUUCACAACCAAGCUAUUUUUGAAAACGCUGAAAGUGAUACUAAGAUAUUUGAAAAUGUGUUCGUGAUGAGUCGAAACUUCGAAAGGUAUGAAUAAGAGUUCAUGAUGUGUAUGUGAUGAUGUAUAAAAUGAAAUAACCAUAAGUUGAGAAAUAUGGGUAACAUGUCAUUGUUCCAGUUGAACGUUGUAUUUCGAUGGAUUAUGGUGAUUUUAUGAAAUGGAUAAAAUGUUAUAAAUGUUAUGAAAUGGAUUUAACCCAGACAGGUAAUCCAGAGUAAGUUCUACGGAACACAUGUUACAAAAAAUGGAUUUAACUUGGAUGAGUAAUCUCAUUAAACUUGUUAUAGAAAGGAUUUAGCUUGGACGGAUAAUUCCAAUAUAAUACCUCUUGAGCACACGUUAUGAUUAGGGUUUAACCUGGACUGGUAAUCCUAAUCGAAAUCUUCUGGGUAUACGUUAUAAAAAGGAUUUAGCCUAGAUUGGUAAUCCUGUUAAACCAUAUGUGACUCGAGAGUGUGCUCUAUGAAUACGUGCCAAAAAGGGGCACUUUCAAAUAUGAAUUGACGGAUUGUUGACAUGCAAACCUCAAGUAUACUACUCGAAUAUCCAUCAAAAUUACAAUAGUUCAAUGAGAAUUAUUCUUGAAAUAUGGAAAAGUGAAACUACAUGAAAGUCUAUAUUGUGAUAAACUCAUCCUUGUUUGUUUGACAGUUAUAUGAUAUUAUGUGCCUAACUUGUUUGAUUAAGUGAAUGCGAUAAGUAAACUUACUCAAAAUUUAUGGAAUGUAUAUAUAUGUGCAUUUUUUUGAAUAAGAUAAUCAGAAAGUUCGUGUAGCAUAAAUAUGUAUGUUAAUUUGCUUGAAGUGAAUUAUAUAACUAUGAUGAUAUUAUGAUGAUGAGGAAUGUUAAGUCACAUGUGUGUAUAUAUGAGAGUCGAGUUAGAGGCUUUACAACCUCAUUACCAGUGUGGUAUUUUGUAACGAAAUUUCACGAGAUUUAUGUUAAAGAAGUCACAAGUGAGAGACUAAAGAGUUCAGUAGUGAACUAACUAAUAAUGUGGUCAGAGUUGGGAAUAGUUUGGCAAUUGAAUAUAGUCUUGGAAAAGAUGCCAGGUUAAUUUAAAGAUCAUUUGGAUUUCGCAAUGUCACGGCUAAAAAAAAUUAAUCUCGGUUAAUCAACUCAUUGUAUGAUGUCUAAAGUAUGUAUUUGCUAGAAUUACUUUCAGAUUUAUUUUCGUUAGUGAAUGGAAUAAUACGAGAUUAGUGAUGACAGAAUUAGUCAGAGAAAUGAUGUUUGAAUCAUAAAGGUGUCUAAGCAUAACAGUUGUAAUUGAAUAGAUUAUGACGAUCUCUCUUGAGUAUUUUAUAUAUUCAUUUAUCCUCAGAGAUAUAUGUGACUAUUCGUUUUCUGAUGAAAUUCUUAUUGUAUGAGAAUGCUAGCUGAUUAUAAUGUUAGAUGAAAACACUAUUGGUCUGGUUGGUUGAUGAUCAGCAUAUCUUAUCUCUCUCUCAUUAGGGUUCUAUUAUAUUAUGUUGGGAACAAAGAUUGAUGGUGAAAAUUUAUGUGAGGCUAUUCUUCUGUUUCUACUGGAUGUUGUUUUGUUUUAUAUAUAUAUACUUGGAAAAUAUAUUAUCUCUAUUACAAUUGAUUCCAGAGCACGUAAGCAUUGUUUUUCUUUUGGUUUUCUCUGAAAAUCAUUAAGAUCUUUAUUAUUUUCUUAUGAGUUAUGUUCUCGGACUCCCAGUAUGGUAAUGCAUCUUAGAUUUCUUUAUCUCGGUCUUCUUAUCAUUCUUACUUCUUAAAUUAUCAACCAUGGCUCACCUUUAAAGUGUGUUCUUUGGCUUGUGAUAACUAUGUCUAUUAUAGGUGUAUUUUUGGUUUGAUCAUAGGAAUGUGGUGAUUCUGGUUUCAGGAAUUCUUUGAUUUUCGUGAAAGGAAUUGACAUCGGUAAAGGUAUAGAUAGUGGAAGCUCAAGCUUGAAUUGUAAGAUGGUUUUCUUUUCUCAGGUAAGUUUGGUUAAUGUCAAUGAGUUCAAUCAAGAUUUUUUGUUUCAUUGAUGCUAAUGUAGUUGUAAAGAUCUUUGAUUAGCAUGUUAAGAGAAUUAUAAAAGAUUGCAUGUUUGAGUUGUUUAACAGCAUAGAGAACGGCGUAUGUUGAUAUGUUAUUAUUUGAUAGUUGAGAUUGACUCAGUUGUUUUUAUCUAACCGAGCUGGUCAGUUAAAAGGUAACUUGAGUUAUAUGCAUUUAAGCUUGUCCUCAGGCAAGAAAAUAAAGAAUUGUACAUUCUUGGGUGAAUAGACAGAUAGUUUGAAAGAAUAAUUCAUAUACUAGAAAGUAUGAUACAGAGAUAUAUUUAUUAGAUUUGUCCUAAUCGAAUGACGUCGUUAUGAGUUAAAUUCUGUUCCAAUUGAUAAAGUUAUCACAUUUGUGAAAGUUUGAAUGGUCUGAUGCAUGUUAGCAAAGUUGAAAACAGUCUAAGGAAUUAUUAACCGAAGCACUAGUUCUGGAUUCUAUUUGAAUUGAGUAAAGAAUUCACGAUUUUUCAGUAAUACAUUAUCGAACUGAUUGAAAUGUGUUUUGAUACAUGAGUGUAAAGUGACAGUUUAUGCUUUCAGAUGGUUAAAGUCACAUUAAAAGAAUUUUCCGAUAAGUGAUUUAGAGUUAGCCACUAUUAUGUCUGUGUUUAGAAUUUAUGACAUUAUUUGUUCGACGAAAAGCGUCAUAUGCUUCUUGAUUACAAGAGUAUAAAGUAUCUAAUGUCUCAAAAAAUUCUAAAGUUAAGACAGCGUUGAUGGUUUGAGCUAUUGACAGACUUUGAGUAGUUAUCGAUUAACUUUUGUGAAAGCAAGUAUAGUUACAGAUGCUUGAAUGGAAAGCCUUUGUUCAUUUUGUGAGUGUUGGUUACAUGAUGAAUCUUAUUUUAUGGAAGUCUGAAUCUAACUAAAUUAAAAAGCUAAAGCGAAGUUUUCUUUGCAAGAUUAAGAACCUCGGGAAUGUGAUAGUAAGUGGUAAACUAAAUGAGUACAGCUUGAGAUGACUUUUGAUUCUGAUUUCUAUUAUUAUUACUCCGAGAUAGAGUUUGCGCAAUGAAUUAUCCAAAGCUUAUGCAGAAAAUGUUGUACGAGACUCGGUAGUAGCUCGUUUGAUCAUUCAGAGAGUAAUUCAGAUCUUUGACAAUAUGCUCCGACACUGUGUUUCAGAGUUCAAAGAUGAUUGGAAAGAGAUAUACAAGGUAGAAUUGAUUUGUGAUUCUGAGGAAAAAGAGUAAAGUGAUUCAUGAAAUUUGAAAGCAACUUCAGACUAACUUAAGUAGUAUAUAGAUUUGAAAAAUUAAGAUAUUGGAUUCUAGAUCGAUGACAAAAUGUUUCUGGAAGUAUUGCUCUCGAAGAGGACUCUUCGAUGAGGUAGAGGAAACUACGAGCAUGUUACCCUAAUCUCUUUUAUGGUAAGAUUUUCGGGGACAAAAAUUCUUAAGGGGGAGAGUUGUAACAGCCCGAUUUUGGGUCUAGUCAGAAAAGUGGUUUCAAGACUACAAAUCCAAAGUAGAAAAACUUAUUUUUAUUAUAUUUUUAUGAUUUACAGUUUCAUAGAAUGAUUGCGUGAAAAUUUCGUUCAAAAAUUUUGAUGUUUGGGAACUCAAUUUGGUCAAAAGAACUAAAUUGUAAAAAGUAUAAAACUUGAGUUCUAUAAGCUAGAGGAGUUUAAUUGCUACAGAAUUUUAAAUUAGAGAUCCUUAGAUGGUAAUUAUACCAUUACUUAAGUUGGUGGACAAAAACAAACGUGGAGUAAGAUCAAUUUUAGUGUUUUAAGAAAAGGACAUUUUGGUUAUUUGGUAAUUAAAUGAAUAAAAAGCCAAAAUUUGUCCAUCUUCUUCCUCCCAUAGCCGAAAUUUAGAAGGGGAAGCCAUAGCUAGGGUUUGGUCACUUCCAAGCUUGAUUGUAAGCCCGUUCUUGUCCUAUUUUUAAAGCUCUUUACAUUUUUGAAGUCAUUAUAACUUGAUCUACCUAUUUUUAGCAAUAAUUUGAAGAAUGAUUAAGGUCUAGGGUUUGAACCAUGUUAUAAAUGUCUAUAUUUUGAUGGCUAAUGGUAGAAAUUGCAUGUUUGAUGUUAGAAAAACAACUUUUGCUAAGUGAUUUUCGGUAAAAAUGUCAAAAAGGACCUAUUUGAAAUAAGUUAUAAAAUGGGUGUUAAAAUGUGAAUAAAAGAAAAAUGUGGGCUUCUAUAGGUAUGUAUAAGAUGCGACAAGGCAUGGGUAUUGAUGAAAUUGAGUACAUUUCAUUUUAUGAGACUAGGGACUAAAAUGUAAAAAUGUCAAACUUUAAGGGCAAAAAUAUAAAAUUUUCCAUAAUGUGAUUUUGGGCUGAUUUGAAUAGUAUAAAGAUUAAAUAAUUUAAAUGUGAUAUUAUAGUUCAAGAGAAAAUGAGGUUCGAAAUUAGAACGGGAGAAAAACAAGUAUUUGACGGUUAGGCCAUUUUCGCCAUUUUCAUGCAGAGGUGAGUUUGUAUGUUAAAAAUAAGCUUUAAUAUAAUUGUAUUUUAAUGCUUUAAUAUUGCAUGAACUAUAUGUUUAAUGAUAUGAAUGAGUUUAAUUCUAUGAAUGAGCCCGACAACAAUUCGAUAAGCAAGAAAUCCCGUUUGAACCUUAGGAAUAGGUUAGGAUACCAGUGACAUGUCACUAGGGUUACAUUGUGUUAUGUGAUUAUUUGAUCUGGGUGCUGGUCUCGUACAUCUUACCAGUGGCUGGGUACUCCGGCAUAUGUUGCGGAUACCUGACAGCUUGUGUGAGUAGCACCGAGUAGCUACGUCUUGAUUGACAGCUUGUGUGAGCAAGCCCGUGAAUAGUUUAAAAAUGAGCCUAUAUGUAUUAUGAGAUAUGAGGUAGCAUUGGCUACAUAUGUGGCACUUAUGUGUAAGAUUUUUCGUGUAUCCGAUUAGUAUUCCAAGUGUUCAACAGGUAUGUCAAGGAAGAGAAAAAGUAUGUAAGUAUUACGAAUUGGUACAGGUAUGUACGUAAAGUUUAUAUGCAUUGACUUCAUGAAAUUGUGAGUUCAUGAUUUCCACGAGAAUGAUUUUGUGAAACCCUUAUUAUUAUUGGUCUAUACUUAUGAUGUAUGAAAUUCAUGGUAAAUUCGGUUGAAGAUCAUGUGAUUGGCUUUCGGGUCAAAUUGAAUUAUGAUAUAGUAUGUUUUGUCCACUCAAAUUGUGAUUUAUCGGAUAUAAGAAAAGGAAAGAUUGGCAUAAUUGCCUAUUAAAAUAACUAUGGAUGUAUGGGAAGAUAUGAGCUUUAAAUAAUUGAAUGAUGUUAAAAUAUAUGCUUGAAAUGUGAUUACUCAUGAUUAAUGCGCAUGUUUACUAUAAGAUUUGAAAUGAUUUGUUCAUUGAUGUAAUAUGUUACAAUUGAGAGAUUACGGUUGUUAGGCUAAUGCCAAGAUAUGUUAAAUUAUGUUUAUAAGUUGAUUGAGUAAAUAUUGUGACUGAAUAAAAUUAUAACUGUGAGAUUCAUAGCAGUUUUUAGUAUCUUGUGUUUAAAUUGUUGAACUUAAUAAAAGACUGGUAAGAGUUGCUUAUUAUUUUAGUACGGACUGACUAUGCUAUAUAGCUUACCCCUCUUUUUUUCUCUUAUCUUAUAGGGUUAUUAAGCUAGCUCGGGUUGGAGAUCAUCGGAGAUACUAUCACACUAUCAAGCUAUCAUUUUGGGUAUAAAUGAAUUCAGCCAUUUUGUGUUUAUGGCAUGUAUAAGGACUUGGUCAAUUUGUUAUAUGUGUCAUUAUUGACUUGGCCAUAUGUGUUGGCUUGGAAUUGUUAAUGCUUCAUCUUAUAUAUAGCCAUGAAUGAUGGCUUAUGUUGAUUAUAAGUUUAUUCAUAUGUUAAUGCCCUCUUGUGAAUGUGAAAUUAGCAUGUUUUUAAUGGGCUAAGUAUGAUGUUUUAAGCAUGAUAAAUGAUGGUAUAAGAAUGACAUGUUAUUGUCUUGGUUGUGGUUGUUUGGUUGCAUGUACAUAUUAGAACUUGUGCCAUGUGAUGUGGUGUAGAUGUGUGCAAGUGAUGGUGGCAAAAUGGCUUUGUAAAUAACCUUGUUUUUGUCCAAAUGGGUAGACACACGGGUGUGUGUCUAGGCCAUGUGUGAUACACGGUCUGUCCCAUGGGCAUGUGUGUUGGCCGUGUGUCCCCUGCACCCUAAUUUUUUCAGUAUAGAAUGCUUAGAAUUGAGCACACGGGCAGAGACACGGGCGUGUGUCUCAGCUGUAUGGAUGACACGGCCUCAGGCACGGGCCUGUGCCCUGAGCGUGUGAAGUCUGCACCUAUUUUAUGAAAAAUCAUAAAUUUUAAAUCGAACACACGGCCUAGCACACGAGCGUGUGACAUGGCCGUGGGUCUUCAAUUUGUUCUUAGGUGACAAACAGAGAGUUGCACGGGGUUGGGACACAGGCGUGUGUGACUACACGGGCGUGUCCCAAGCCACACGGGCGUGUGACCCCUGUUUAGUGGAAAAUUUUCUAAGUUUUGUAAAAAUUUCUAAAGUUCUCGGUUUAGUCCCAAACUGCCUCCAGAGCAUGCUCUAGGCUUCGUAGGCCCGUAUUAACGACGACAUGAUUGAACGUUAAAAAGUUUUAAUUUGGAAGAAAAUUUACAGCUCGGUUUGUAUGAGUGAAUGUGAUAAAAGUCUGGUAAUGCCUCAAGCCCUAUUCUGGCGUCGAGGAUGGGUAAGGGGUGUUAUAUUCAGGGUAUUACUAAAGAUUCUUUAAAGACUAUGGCACGAUAGCAAGACCAUUCACUGACUUGCUGGAGAAAGAGGAAUGGAAUUGGAUUCCACAAGUUGGCAAUGCCUUCACCUUAAAAACAACCCUUAGUUCUGCUCCUGUCCUUACCCUACAAAAUUUCCAGCUUGUUUUUUUUUUUUUGGACACUGAUGCCACUAACUCUGAAGUAGGAGCAGGUUUACAACAACAAGGACACCUUAUAGCUUUAUUUAGCAAGGCACUUGAAACUAAUCACCAAUCCUUGUCGAUUUAUGAAAUGGAAAUGCUAGCGACUCUUUUGGCAGUCAAAAAAUGGCAUCACUACCUAGUUGGUCAUCGUUUUUGCAUCUAAACUAACCACCAAAGCUUGUAAUUCCUAGCUGACUAGAAACACGAAAAUAUACACACUUUUUUAUACUCAUUUUAACUCAAAUUCAUGCAGUUUCGAUAAAAUUCUUGUCGAAAAAUAUUUAAUUAUUAUAAAAUAAUUAAAUUGUACUUAAAUUAUUAAAAUGUUGAAUUUUACUUAAUUUUAUAAUAAAUUUUGAUUAAUUUUGAUCAUUUUCGAUAGAUUUGCACAAAGGGCGAAAAACGGCUCGGCAGAACACUGCUAGAAACACAAAACCGAUAAGCAAUUUUGAAGCAUUAAGGCGAAUUAAUUUUUCAGCCUAAGACGGUCCAAAUUAUGUGUAUUAAUUAAUAAUAUAAUUAAUUUUAAUUUUAAUUCAAUUUAAUUUGGGUUAAAUAAAUUAUUAUUAAUUAAUUAUGAAAGUGGCCCAGUUGAGUUGAAUUUAGAAAAUCGAUUCAACCGAGCACUGGGUAGCAGAAAACUGUCCCUCAUGUUGACCCAAUCAGCUUACUUGGCUGAUUAUUUAACUUGCAAAAUGGUCCUUGAAAACUCCUUCAAAUUGCAUUCAAACACCUCCACUAUUUGUGCCUUUCUACAUGUGUGGCCAGCCAUGGGGGGACUCUAUGGCUAUUGAAUUUUGCUAAUUUUAGUAGUCAUCUCAACCUAUUAAUACCCCCUCUUUGGUGCUCACUUCAAACACAUCUCAACCCUUCUCAUCUCUUCACUUUUCUCUCAUUUUUCUCUCUUCAUUCCCUUCCAGUUUUCUUCAUUUCCUUCCCCUAUUCCCUUGCCAAUUUCACCUCUUGAAAAAGAGUCAAUCAACCACCAUUUGGAGUAGCAUUCAAGUGUUCAUAGAAGCUUUGGUUUGACAAGAACAAGCAGAGAAUGAAGAGUGGAGCAAACUAGUCAAGCCAAGGAGAAAACACCAAAUUCUUGUUCCCUAUCCUUUUAAUUUUGUUGUUCUUAUAAUGAACAUGUCUAUGAAUAUUUGUGAUUUUGAUAUGUUUAAUUUAAUUAAUAUGGCUUAAAUUUAAUUCGUGUUAGGUUGAUUGCAUUUCGUCUACUUAAUUUAUUAAAACUGUGUUUGUGUUGUCAUAGGCCUCGGUAAGAUGUUUGAUUAAGUAAAACCAUGACUAAGUUAUUCUUGCAUUACAAUUGUAAGGUAACUAAUGAAUUAAUUAUUUAAACGGAUUGAAAUUUUAAUUAAUUGACACGAUACUUAAUUAGUGCAUAUUUAAUCAUCUAAGGUAGCUAAGGGUUAAAUUAGCAACGUUAUCUAGCAAUACAUUAGCCUUGCAUAACUUGCAAGAUUAUUGUGAUUAAACUGUUUCAAGGUAGAAAUACAUUGUUACCUCACGUGAUCUUUUAUGUGCUUUUGAGAUUGAAUUAAUUGUUUGAAUUGGCAUAGAGAUAUGUACAAGAGAUUAUUUUAAUUUCAUAAGUAUGUAUGUGCAUUAACACAUUUACUUAUUAGAAUUUGUUUAAUCAGUUGAAUUGACAUAGAGAUAUAGUCAAGAGAUAAAUGGAUUUUGGUAGGUAAGUAUGUUCAUAAGUUAGCAAAUUACCGAGUUGCCGUGAAUUUAUUCGUAACAACAUGAACAUGAGUUUAAUAAUUCUAAGUUAAGAAAUGCAAUUAAUCUAACACAAUUAUGUCAUCUUGAUUAAAAUCAUCUUUUGAAAUCGUGCAUUGGAACUUUUAUUUUAUUUUUAUGUAUUUUACUUAGUUAAAAUCCUAGUUUUUAAUAACCUCCUCCAAUCAAAAUAUUUUUCUUCACAAAAGUGUCUUUAAAAUUGGAUGCAUAAAUAAUUCUUUUCACAGUCCCUAUGGGUACGAUAACUCGACAUUUACUUGUCACUUUAUUACUUGUUGUGAUUGUGUACACUUACACAUUUUCAUCAUUCCACUAACCAGCAGGUUGUUACUCAUUUUCAAAAGAAAUGGGUCUCCAAAAUGCUUGGUUAUGACUUUCAUAUGUUAUACAGGAAGGGUAGCACCAACAUAGUAGCCGAUGCUCGUUCAAGACAGCGUAUGGGGGCUGAAGGAUAGUGUUUACAAUUGAAAGGUAGCUCGAUAAUAUCUAGCCUAUUAGCUUGGGUGCAAGAAGCUUGGAUACAUGACCCUCGUAUUAACAAAAUUUGUUUGGAGCUACAAGCCCAACCCUCAUCCCAUCCAAAGUACAGUUGGGAUGGUCGUUUUUUAAGAAGAAAUGGGAAACUUGUGAUCGGCAAGGAUCAAGAACGUCAAACAGCCCUAUUUUCUUAUUUUCACGAGAGUUCCACAAGGGGCAUUCGGGCAUCCAUUCUACGAGACAACGACUUGCAAGUAUGGUUUAUUGGAAAGGGAUGCAUACGGUUAUUAAACAAUGGGUGAAGAAUGCCUUGUUUGCCAAUGAAACAAGUAUGAUACCUCUGCUCAUCCUGGGUUACUUUAGCCACUCCCAAUUCCUACUCAUGCUUGGUCCGAAGUGAGCAUGGAUUUCAUCGAGGGAUUACCCCCUUCUAAGGGAAAGAAUUCCAUUCUCGUAAUAGUGGAUAGACUCAUUAAAUAUGCCCAUUUUGUAGGACUCUCUCAUCCCUUUACUUACAAUAGCCCAAGCCUAUCUUGACCAUGUUUAUAAGCUCCACGGGAUAGCGCUAAAAUUUUAACAGUUCAUUUAGCUUUCUCGUCCAAAAAACAAUAAAAUAAUUAAAUUUUAAAAAAAUUAAGGAUCUAAAUUUAAAAAAAAUAAUUUUUUUUUACGAAAAACAUAUAUUUUGUAAUUUGGUGAAUGGACUGCGGCAUUCACACCCACUAUGGUCCAUAAUUUUCAGUGGGAACAAAAGCAUGGAAACAAUGAAAACAGACAUCCUUCUUUUUACAUUGAUUAAGACUCCCCUUUUCUUCUCUUUUAUCUUUCUUUAUUUUCUAUGAUUUAAGUGAGAAAAGAAUAGCAGAAAAAAGGCUAUGGAAAGAAACCUAUUGGAUGAAGACAACAAGUGAUUUUGAAAGUAGAAACGCGUAUUGCAAAUCAGAAAACAUCAUAACAAUGAGAACAUACACCCUUUUUUUUCGGAUUGAUUAAGACCUUCCCACAACAAGUUUUGUCAGGAGGGGGGCCUGGCGCAAAAGAAGGUUGGGCUUAAACACCGAGACUUGACUCAGUUAAUUAAGAUUAUCAUGCAAUCAUCCUUAAUAAAUCCUCCUCUAUUAAACAAAACACUGAGUCACUGAGACGAAGUAAUGAGUAGUGAGCCCAAACACCGCAACUUUUAUGUGGAUAGAUUGAAAAUCAUUAAUUUCUAAUUCUCCUUCUUGGAUAGCAAAUGGAAAUUGCUGCAAUGAUUAACACACUUCAACAUAUAUAAUCGACCUUAACUUCUUCGCUACGCUAAACGAUUUCCAAUCUAUAAAUACAAGCACAUCCAUAGUGCUAUUGCCUAUAAGUACAUCCUCCUCAAUACCAAUUAUUCAUCACCUCAUCUAAAACAUCUUAUAAUCCUUCUUUUUAAAUACUCGUCUUUAAAAACAAAAAUUGUGAAACAUGCACAAUCCACUUUUUCUUGUGCUUACUGUAAUAUUCUCCAGCCUGGUGGUUCAGCCAGUCAUGGGAGCAAAGGGUUUCAGUGUGGAGCUUAUUCAUCUUGAUUCACCAAUAUCUCCUUUCUAUAAUGCUUCUCUCACCUCAUCACAGAUCCUAAGAAAAAAUGCCCUCCAUUCCAUGGACCGUCUCAAACACUUCCAAUUCUUGAUUGAUCAAAGCGCCAUCCAAUCUGCAGUGACUCCAAAUGGAGGUAUUUAUCUGAUGAAACUCUCCUUUGGAACCCCGCCAGUUGACUACAUGGCCGUUGCAGACACUGGAAGCGACCUUAUAUGGAUACAAUGUGUUCCAUGUCUUCAAUCUCAAUGUUAUCCACAAGGUUCUCCUCCUUUCGAUCCUCAAGCAUCUUCCACCUACAAAAAGAUUCCUUGCGAUUCCGAUAGUUGCCAAGCUCUUCCCCGGUAUCAGUGCUCCAACGACGUUAAUGACUGUCAAUACUCGUAUAGCUAUGGAGACAAGUCAUUUACGAAAGGAAUCCUCAGCACCGAUACCUUGACUUUUG